rnacentral:rRNA from 1 species
UACGAAGGGGGCUAGCGUUGUUCGGAAUUACUGGGCGUAAAGCGCACGUAGGCGGAUAUUUAAGUCAGGGGUGAAAUCCCAGAGCUCAACUCUGGAACUGCCUUUGAUACUGGGUAUCUUGAGUAUGGAAGAGGUGAGUGGAAUUCCGAGUGUAGAGGUGAAAUUCGUAGAUAUUCGGAGGAACACCGGUGGCGAAGGCGGCGACCUGGUCCUUUUACUGACGCUGAGGCGCGAAAGCGUGGGGAGCAAACAGG